UUAAAAAGAGAAGCAGCAGCAGCAGUGAAAUAUGCGCAGGGGAGUCCUCUAGUGGAGGAGAUGAGCACAGACAGUGGGCCCAGCAGUGAGUGGAAAAAUGAGGCAUUUAGUUCUGAAACAUUCUUGGGUCAACUUGGGUCAACAGCAAAACUAGCAUUCUUCCAUAAGCAUUAUAGACAUUACCUUGUAAAGAGAAACAUCAACAGACCAUGAAGAAAGAAAAUCACAGAGGUUUAAUCCCAAAUUACACACUAUGGUGGAAGUAGUCGUAUGCUAUGAUUUGGUAAUGCUGGUCAUGCAGGUUGACCAGCUUGGUUAUUCUAUCUAACAAUUUUUUUGGUUUUAGUAGAAUGUUUUCUCUUUUCUCUUUUAGUAGAAUGUUUCUUAGAAUGUUCAACCUGUCAAUUUUUUGAGUAUUUUUAGAAUUUUUUUUAAAAUUCUGGUAACAUUACCG
rnacentral:lncRNA from 1 species